rnacentral:misc_RNA from 1 species
AAGUCGUAACAAGGUAACCGUAGGUGAACCUGCGGUUGGAUCAUUACCAAUUUUUCCUUUUUUCGCAAAAGAAUUCGUUCUUUUGUGAAGGAAGUGGAAACCCAAUUGUGAACCUGUAAUUGUGCAUUGGCGGCUGUUCAGUGCCUUGUGCUGAACAUGCAUUCAGUUGCAAAGGCCGUCGAUAUAUGUUUCAAACAUUUCUACUUCUAUUUAUUCUUUGUCUUCUUUCUUUUGAUUAAGAAACCAAGAACAACUAUUAACAAUGGAUCUCUUGGCUCUC